UUUUGGUUAGCUUAUUUAGCCAAGUGGUAGAGUAUUUAAGAAAUAACUGCUUUGACCCUUGCCAUGUGUCACAAUCACUUAAACAAGAGACUCAAACAAAUUCAAUAAUACUAAGUACUAUUUCUUAAACAACGGGCGUUUAUUCAAAUUGUACAUGCUUGAUUCCUCUUAAGCAAUGUUUCGAGUUCGAGUCAUGUGGAUGGAAAAAAUGUCCGCUAGGAGAGUUAGCCCCACAUACAUGUGAAUAUUCACAGUUCUGACAGGAUUGCCUCCAGUAAGAUAAUACUUGUGGGAAACCAAAAAAAUAAUGAUUAAUGUAUAUUACUCACUCCCACUCAAGCUCACGUGCCUUUCUAAAUAUUAGACAACUUCAAGCAAUGUUUACACACAAUUCAACUAUUCACAUUAAGUACUAGCAUAAUUUAGUAAUGUAACACAAUAGCCUAAGAUCAAAUACAUAUCCAGCAAAAAUUCUUCUUGAGGGAAGCAUAGAAACAAAAAUUUGACUUUGCCCAACUACAUGGCCACUUGAGGAAUGCAAACGAUUCAUAUACUUAGCAUGCAUUGUGAUGAAUGCCUUGUCCCGAAACUUGUGUUCCUUCCUGUUCAGUGGUUAAAUAUGUAUCAACUUGGGUUAUCCCAUGCUUAUUCUGCUCAUGCUCUUCUUGAUUAUGGUUGGAUGAUCUAAUUUCUUGCAUAUAUGACAGCCCAAGAGUUCCACAACAAUCUCGAAAAAUAAUAAGACACCCUGUUGUUACCGUAGCUGAGUCACGACCAGGUCGCUCUCUUUAAGACUUUUCGUGUGCACUGUAAGAACCGAUCUCGAAUACACCCACCACAAUAUGGCUACCAGUGCCAAUUCUCGAAAUUACCCACAAUAUGGCUACCAGUGUCAGUUCUCAAAAUGCCCAUAAUAUGGCUACCUGUGCCAAUUCUUUCCCUCAAUACUGACUACCAGUGUCAGUUCUCGAAAUUCCCACAAUAUGGCUACCUAUGCCAUUUCUUAGUGCCACGGAAAGAAAGGGGAAGAAGUUUACCGGAAAUGCAUCGGCGGAAAAUAUGAGGGAGAAAGAAAAAGUUGAAUUAAAGCGCA
rnacentral:lncRNA from 1 species